rnacentral:rRNA from 1 species
GAUCCUGGCUCAGAUCGAACGCUGGCGGCAUGCCUUACACAUGCAAGUCGAACGGUAACGGGCCUUCGGGUGCCGACGAGUGGCGAACGGGUGAGUAAUGUAUCGGAACGUACCUUUCAGUGGGGAUAACGUAGCGAAAGUUACGCUAAUACCGCAUAUUCUGUGCGCAGGAAAGCAGGGGAUCGCAAGACCUUGCGCUGAUUGAGCGGCCGAUAUCAGAUUAGCUAGUUGGUGAGGUAAAAGGCUCACCAAGGCGACGAUCUGUAGCGGGUCUGAGAGGAUGAUCCGCCACACUGGAACUGAGACACGGUCCAGACUCCUACGGGAGGCAGCAGUGGGGAAUUUUGGACAAUGGGGGCAACCCUGAUCCAGCCAUGCCGCGUGAGUGAAGAAGGCCUUCGGGUUGUAAAGCUCUUUCGGCCGGGAAGAAAUCGUAUCAGCUAAUACCUGGUGCGGAUGACG